UCUCUCUUUCUUUUUCCUCUCUUUCUUCCCCUCCCUGUUCAGCAGCCUUCUCUGUUUCGCAAGUGUUCCCGUUGGUUCCCCUAUACCGCAGCUUGGUAAACAUGGUUGGUUCAAGUCGUGCACUUAAGACGAAGGUUAGGUCUGUAAAAAGAGGAAACAAGUUUACCAACCGAGCUUACAUCUACGAUCAUGAUUUGGAAACAUACCUCAUUGCAUCCAUCCCCAAAUUGUACCUGGCAUCCGUUACCUGACAAACUCGUUCUUUUCAUUUGUGUCUCUAAAUCUGUGUUUAAUGGUCAUCUGAUGUUUGAUUUCAAUUUCCCUACUCCGUUGAAGUGUUUCCGAUGCCUUUAUUUCUUGUUGAUGAUGAAGUUUCCGUUGCUUCAUUUAUUUUUUUUAACUGCAUUUCAAGGUUUUAUUGCUUCUUUUUUAUACUUCCCCUGUUUUACAUACUUUUUUGUUGUUGAACGAGAAAGGCGAGAGCCUCUCUUUGGAAGUUGUAGAUGAAGCUGAAAUUAUUUUCAAUUUAUUUUUUUCCUACUGGUUGCUAUUUGAUAUCAUUUUGUUUUGUUUUUUUUUUUCCGUCAAGUGUUUUGAAUUUUCAUUUGAUUGCUAGUUCAAUUUCAAUUGCAAUCUCUACUCGUUUUGUUUUCGAUAUAUUUUUGGUUUUUUUACUUCUUUAUUUUUUUGACGAUUUCAAUCUUCACCUUCAACAACUUCAUUAAUGGCCUUUCUGUUUUAGUAGUUGAUUCUUUUUUAGAAGUCAUGCAUUCAUUCUGUUUAAGGUGUUGUCUUAUUCCUUUUUGUUACCUUCAAGUUUUUUCUUGUGUCUACACCAAACACACCUUUAACAGAAGAUCACUGAAGAUAAAACCAUCAAGAAAGGCGAAAUUGCCCUCAACGAUCAACACUGCGACUUUGCAAAGACCAAAAUAGGAGACUCUGCAACUGUGAUUCCAUUCAAUCUUCCUCAUGAUAAGUUUGACAUCACAGAAUUAUACUUGCAAUUGAAAUUCUCUGGCAACAUAGAGAUUAAUGCUCGUGACUGGGAGAAAAAACUGAAAGAUAUAUACAACAAUCAGGAUUCGUUUUUGCUGCUGCGGUUCUCUCAUUCUGCAGCUUUGUGUGGCUGCUGCAGUUUUUGCUGUUGAUGCAAGCUGAUCUCUUUUUUAGAAGCUGCUUAUGUUUCCUUUCUAAGCUGCAGGUGUUCUUUGAUUGGGAAUUUAUAGUUGUACUUUGUAUUCCAUGUCUUAAGAGUCAUAGAUCCAUGCUUAAAAAUGUAACUGGGAUGUGUGUUUGUAUGUAUGGGUAUCAACAUAUCUGCAAAUUAUAUCAAUUGAAGGCUGAAAAUUACCUAGAACAA